GCAGUCCAAGAAUAUUAGUCAAUGCUCGCAAGAGUGAACGAGCUAACUGAAAGAAUAUAUAAUCUAAAGUUAGGAAUCUUAUAAUUUUUAUUAUAAGUUUAAAGACGAAUCUAACUAACAGUGUCGUCCAAAUUCUGGUGCCAGAAGACUCGGUAAUACCAGAGACGCGAACGUUAAUCAUCUUGAAUGGGCAUAAAGGGUUUGUAGGCGGCUUAUUUAUUAAUAGGCUAGAAUCUUAUAGAGGUUAAUAAAAUACUUAGAGGAGGGCUGAUAUCCUUAGAUCCUAAGUGGAAUCCUAAUUGCGAAGGCCAUUUUCCACUACAGAUUGACGCUGAUACACGAAGGUUAGGAUAGGAACUAGGAUUAGAGACCCUAUUACCCCUAACUGUAAACGAUGAAUGGAAGAUAUUUACAACUGUAAGUGUCGAAGUGAAUACGAUAACCAUUCCGCCUUGCCAGUAUACUUGCAAAAGUGAAAACAAAAAAAUUAGUCGGUCCUAAAGCAAACGAAGUGAAGCAUGUUAUUUAAUU
rnacentral:rRNA from 1 species